rnacentral:rRNA from 1 species
AUAAAUUUCAUGGGUAUGUAGUAAAAUUUAAAUAUAUUUAUUUUCUAUAAUUGAAAUAUUUACAGUUGUAGAACGUUUAAUUCUAGCUAAAGAAUACAUUAAUAUUAAGGAGAUUAUAUGAAAUUUAUAAAUUAUUUUUUGUAGUUUACAAAAUUAAAAAUUAACAAAAUUAGAUUUUGCUAUAAUCAUAAAGUUUUAGUAAAAAUAUGUGCCAGCAGCUGCGGUUAUACUAUUGAAGCAAAUGUAUUAUUUUUAUAAUGAUAAAUUAUUAUAUUUGAAAUAAAAAAAGUUUGAUAAGGUGAAAUUUUCAAAUUAUUUAUAUUCACAAGAUGAUUUUUUUGAAAUUUUAGAAAAAACUAGGAUUAGAUACCCUAUUAUUGAAAAAUUAUAAAAUUAGGUAGUAAAGAAUUUUCCGAAACCUAAAGAAUUUGGCGGUAUUUUAAAUAAUUGGAGGAACCUGUUGUUUAAUUGACAAUCCACAACACAUCUUACCUAAAUAAAGUUUGUAUAUCAUUGUUUUAGGAUAAUAUUUUAAAAUAAUAAUCUAAGAUAAUCUAUUUUUAUAAAUCAAAUCAAGAUGCAGCGUAUUUAGGACAUAAUGGGUUACAAUAUAAUUUAUAUACAAUGGAUAAUUUAUGAAAAAUUAUUUGCAAAGAGGAUUCAAAAGUAAUUUAGUAUUAAAAUGUUUAUUUGAUUAAUAAUUUAAAAUAUGCACAUAUCGCCCGUCACUCUUUCUAUUUAAGAAAGAUAAGUCGUAACAUAGUAGGUUCACCGGAAGGUGACUCUAGAAUG